rnacentral:rRNA from 1 species
AGCGAACGCUGGCGGCAGGCCUAACACAUGCAAGUCGAACGAAGUCUUCGGACUUAGUGGCGGACGGGUGAGUAACACGUGGGAACGUGCCUUUAGGUUCGGAAUAACUCAGGGAAACUUGUGCUAAUACCGAAUGGGCUCUUCGGGGGAAAGAUUUAUCGCCUUUAGAGCGGCCCGCGUCUGAUCAGCUAGUUGGUGAGGUAAAGGCUCACCAAGGCUAUGCUCAGUAGCGGGUCUUGGAGGAUGACCAGCCACAUUGGGAGUGAGACGCGGCCCAAACACCUACGGGAGGCAGCAGUGGGGAAUCUUGCGCAAUGGGCGAAAGCCUGACGCAGCCAUGCCGCGUGGAUGAUGAAGGUCUUAGGAUUGUAAAAUCCUUUCACCGGUGAAGAUAAUGACUGUAGCCGGAGAAGAAGCCCCGGCUAACUUCGUGCCAGCCGCCGCCGUAACAC